CAGUCGCCACGGUAAUACAGAGGAUGCAAGCGUUAUCCGGAAUGAUUGGGCGUAAAGCGUCUGUAGGUGGCUUUUCAAGUCCGCCGUCAAAUCCCAGGGCUCAACCCUGGACAGGCGGUGGAAACUACCAAGCUGGAGUACGGCAGGGGCAGAGGGAAUUUCCAGUGGAGCGGUGAAUUGCGUUGAGAUCGAAAAGAACACCAACAGCGAAAGCACUCUGCUGGGACGACACUGACACUAAGAGACGAAAGCUAGGGGAGCAAAAGGGAUUAGAUACCCGCGUAGUCCCUGUCUCUUAUCC
rnacentral:rRNA from 1 species